GGUCGUUUUCAGCCUUUUGACUAAGAUCAAGUGUAGUAGCUGUUCUUAUCAGUUUAAUAUCUGAUAUGUUCUCUAUCAAAGAACUUCAUAUGGGCUUUGUAGCGGCUCAGUGGUUAGUACUGUUGCCUCACAGCAAGAAGGCCCUGGGUUCAAAUCCUGGCAAUCCCAGGUCCUUUCUGUGUGGA